AGCACAAUUACUUUUGCACCAACCUAAUAGAAAGCUUUGACCUAGAGGAAGGUACUUUAGGAGACUGCCAAUCAUCAGCAUGCUUUCUGUUUCCUUUUCUCUGCUUAUCUAUGUAAGGUUUUAUUCAAAGUGGGUACUCCUGGUUUAUGGUGGGAAUAUGAGUAGGGUUGUGGAGAAAAAGGAUACAGAGGCUUCUAACCCCACGAGUAAGUCUGCUGCCAGUGGUAGCCAUACAGUGAGAAUACGAUACAAUUAGAGUCCAUCAGCAGAGUGCUUUAUUAGUCCCUGCCUUGGCUGGGUCACGUGUAAGAUGAUCAACUUCUUGCUGCUUUUUUCUUUAAAAAAGUUAAUCUGAACUUGGCAACUAUGUUUUUGUUCGUGGAAACCUGGUUAUCCAGCCCGUUGGCACAGCUGGUUUGGGUUUUGAUUCCCAGAACUCAGUCUACAGGCCUUUCCAGCCUCUCUCCAGCAUAGAUUGCAGCGCUCUGCAAGGUGCAAGUCCUGAAAACACAUCAUUUGGAUUUCCUCUCUCUGGUUAACUGUCACAGCCAGCUGCUCUCAAUCCCUGGAUUCAUUUCCUCUUGAAUUCUGUGUAAUGUUCUCCUUAAUCAUUCAAUGUAAAAAGAAGAAAAACUUUUUCCUGGUCUUUUUUUUUUUUUUAAAUGGGAGAGGCUUUACUGAUUUUCUUUUCAAUUUGACCAAUAAUUCCCUUAUGCCCACGGAUACUCCUUAACAGUUGUUCUCUUGCUGUUGUCAUUUUAUAUUAAUGUUCAGAGAAUACUUAAUGGAAUCUUCCUUCAAUAACUACUCAUAUUGGCUCUUAUUUGGUUUGCAAUUUUGAAACCAAAGAUCUAUGGAUUUUAAACCAUACACUCCUCAGGCAAGAGGUUAUUAAACAAUCAUUGGUGACUGUAUUUAAUGUUAAACUUAUAAUUCAGAAAGAGGUAGACUGGGUGAAUUGAAAAAUACCUCAGAGACUCAGAAUUAGGUUUCCAAAAAGCAAUCAUCUGCACUUUUUUUUCAAAUGAAAAUAGUAUCAUAUCAGGAUUAAUUCAAGUUAAUAGCUAAGAAAAUAUCAAUCUAGGUACUGUACAUAGCUUCAAUGCCCAGUUUCAUUUUGCUACAAGAAACUAUAUAUUUUAUUGGACACGCACACAAAAAGCUUGUCAUAUUACUCAUCACCCCUAGAAGCAGUUCAUAGAGCAGCAAAGUAAUGUUGCUAACAAGAAGCAGUUUUCUGUAGUAGACAGCAAUUCUUAUCCUGUCAUGGAUUUAUCUUAUUAUUGACAGCAAAUUUGGCUGGCAUUUACCAGAAUUGAUGCUUUACCCAGCCCCAUACCAGAGCUGGAACAUAAAAUAGGCUUAUACCACACUUAAUGUCACUCACGUAUUUCCUCUGUUCAAAGUCACAUCCCUUUUCUGAUCUGAAUGAUGAAGGAGGACGUUUAAAACAUAGACAUCUCUAUGCUUUAUUAUAGAGUAGUUUGUAAGUACUGUUUACAGUGCCAACACAUGAGGAGGCAGCAGCAACUACUUUAAUAUGAUUAAAGGUAGCAGUAUUUGCUACAACAAAUGAGUUCUAACAUUGGCCACCAGAGUUGUUUUUUUUUUUUCUUGGUGUCUGGCUUACUUUCUACUUAAUUUGUUCAGGAAAACACCAGGUCAAUUUGUAUUAUAAGAAUUUGCCUAGCUCACAAAUGAUCCCAUAAGGAGUGGGCAUUCUAUUUUUUCUAGUUCUGAUGUUUCUGUAAUCUUUUUAAGACAUGUUGUAUCAUAAAGCUUAAUGUGCAUCUCAUUUCUUUAAAGUCGCUUGAGGGAUGAGCUAUCAAUGAGAAUCUGGAGAUGUAUAUAGAAGCAGUAACCAUUAAAGGUUGUGUGAGUAACUGGGCUCAGGGUAUGCAAAUAGGCAAGGAGUGGGAUGCGCCCCUCAGUGAGCAAGUUCGUGGUUGUCUGAAGCUACUGCGACGGGGAGCCUCUUGGGGUCAGUGGAGAGGCUGAUGAAGCAGAGACAACUCCAGAAAAGAUGAUGCCUGCCACUGAGGCCAUCGGGAUGAUGGUGGGAGGAGGAACAGAGUCCACCUUACAAAAGAGGAGGAAGAAAUAGGGCCUCUUGAAAGGAAAAGUCUUUCUAGCUGGCCAUUGACUGUGACUUGGAAAAAGGCACAGGACCAAGAAAAGUAGAAGAAAAAUUUGAAGAGUACAAAAAAGAAUGUGGUCUGUAUAUAGUAUUUAGAAUUUAUUAAUGUUUUUCAUGGCCUGGUACAUAAUAAACUUUAAAAAUAUCCAAUAGGGAUUUGGAAAGAAUGCAUAGUUUGUAUAUUGGGUAGCUUGUUAAUUGCAUAUGAUUUAAGUUCUCUAUAGUGUUCCUCUCCCUACCUCUGACCCUUAUCCUCUCUCUUAAGAUAGCCAAUGUCAACAGUUUUCUUAUGCAUUCUUCCAGGAAAGUUAUUUAUGUAUUUAAUUUAAUAUGCAAAAAUCCUUUUAAAUAUACAAAAAUUAGAUUAUUUUAUAAACUGUUUUAUCAUCUGCUGGUUUUAAUUUAAUAUAACUUGGAGAUACAGUCAUAGCCACACAUGUAGAUGUACCUCAUUCUGAAUAGUUCUUUUUUAAAAAGAAUUAUUAAAAUAAUAUUUUCCCCCAUGUAGUUAGAUUUAUUUUUGACAUAUUUUGUUCUUAACAUCGAGUUUUCUUGCAUAAUGAUCAGAGAAUGUGACUAUAUAUAAUAUUUGGAGUUUACUGAAAUUUCUUUCGUGGUCUGAUACACAAUAAAAUUUAUAAAUGUUCUGUGGGGAUUUGGAAAGCAUGUGUAGUUUCUGUGCCUUGGCUAGCUUGUUAAUUAUUUGUGAUUCAAAUUCAUUAUAAUUUUAUAAAUUUUUGGUUACUUCACCUGCUGAGGUUUGAGCAGUAUGAGUCUCCCAUUAUGAUUGUGGUUUUGACAAUUCUCCUUGCAUUUCCAACUUCUUGGUUUUUACAUAUAUUUUGAUCACUGUUGUUCAGUUAUAAAAUAGUUAUUGGCUAUUUUAUCUUCUUUAUGUAUUGUAUUUUGAAAUCAGUAUAAAAGAUCUCCUAUUGCACUAUUCAAUGAUUUCUCCAUUAAAAAUAUAUUUAAGACAAUUUUUUACAAGUUGUUUAGUUUACUUUUGGCUGAUAUAUCUUUGCCUACUUUUUAUGUUCAACCAGUGACAGUUUGCUUUAAGUAUGUUUCAUGGAAAUAGCACAUCGCUGGAUCUAACGGCAAUAAGAAGUCUGCAGGGUGUAUAAUGGGAUUUUUUUUGAGUCUCCCAGAUUUAAAUCUAAAUCUUGGCUCCACCACUUACUGGCCAUGUGACCUCACGCAAAUAAAUGAUUACUUCUCCAAAACUCAGUUUCCUUAUUUGUGAAAUGCGACAAUAAUAGCAUCAUAUUAAUUGGAACUCUGAAUUGUAAUAAAAAUGAGGUUACAAAACAAAGGAAAAUUUCUGUGCAUAGGAAGCAAUAAAAACCAAACCAUGAAAAAAGGAUGGGCUAAUGCUGCCUUUUAUUUACCCUUCCUACAGCCCAGCUUUUUCUUGCCUCAUACCUCGAAUUGUCUGUCUCCAGAAAGGGCCUGCCUCAUGCUCCCUGUUACAUUCUAAAAUCUCAGGAAAGAAUUCUUCAUCUCCCUGGGGCUCAUUUGAACCCCAUCAUUCAAGUUGGGGAAGAAGCAUUUCCUAAGGAAGGGGGAGAGAAUGCUGGGAGACAAAGCAGUCCACCCUGCAGGAUGAAGUGAGGCCCACAGGUGAUAGACAUAAAAGCCUCUCCACAAGAUGGCAGCUGGUGGGACCUCGCCAACCAGGGCCCUCACGGUAUGGCUUCGGGCUGGUGACCAGGGAAUUCAUGGUGGGGCCUGGUAAGUGAGCGGCAGGUGGCAGAAUGGCAGGCCAGCAGGUAGGAGCUCCAUACAGGUCAGUCCAGCAGAGGCCUAAAGGGCUGAAUGGGGAAACCAGGCGAUUCCCACCCACACAAAACAUCCUCCAGUCUCACUGUGAUCAAGCUCCCACCCCAUUGGCAGGCCCUGUAAGUUAUCUUCCAAAAAAAACCCAAGUCAGUUUUCUCUUAUCCCUUCUCACUGCUGCCCCCAGCCUCAUCUAAGCCACCUGUACUGGCCUUCAGCUGGCCGAUAAUGAAAUCAUUCUAACAGUCCCCCUGGCUUCACUGCUGCCCUGCUCUGAUCCAUUCUCCAUACAAGAUGGAAUGGUGUCGUGAAAAAACAUAUAUUAGAUCAUGUCUGCCUAAUCUCAUUGUACCCAAAAUCACAUCCUCAGAACUUCCAGCAGCCUGGAAGGCCCUGCUGGGCCCGCCACUGGCUCUGUCUCCAGCCACAUCUGUGCCGUGCCCCCAUGGCUGCCUUUGCACAGCAUCCAGGACACACCACAAUCUUUCCUACCUCCCAGUGCUCUCACUGCCCAUUUCCUCUGCCUGGAACACUGUUCUGCCUCUUCAUCCCACGGCAGCCUCACCCUCCCUUUGCAUUUUAUCACUGUGUUGGUGAGCCCUUCCUUGACCUCCCUUCUAAAGCAGCCUCUGCUCGUGCCUCCACCCUUCCCCACUGGAGCCCCUGUUAAUUCCUUCAUAGAAUUUAUCUCACAACACAUUAUAUUGAUUUGUUUAUUGUCUGCCUUUGCUAUGACAGGGCACGCGUUGUGAGGGAAAGGACCAUAUUUUUCUUCACUGCUCUGCCUCUUGUGCCUCACCAGCCUGUGGCACAUAGUAGGUGCUCAACUAAACAUGUUUGUGGAAUGAAGAGAGAUGAACUAGCCAGCAUAGUGGUGAGUGGAGAGGGAGUACUUUGGGAUAAAUUGUGUGUCCCCCAAAAAGAUAAUGUUGAA
rnacentral:lncRNA from 1 species